rnacentral:rRNA from 1 species
CUUCCGUAGGUGAACCUGCGGAAGGAUCAUUACAGAAUUUUGAGAAUUGUGCUUAACUGCACUUUUCUUAUCUACACACGUGUUUUUGUUUUAUUCUUAAAACUUGCUUUGGCAGUGGCUGCUUAAUUGCUCUGCUGCCAGAGGAUAAACUCAACCUAAAUUUUUUAUUUUAAACUAGUCAACUGAUUAUAUUUAUUAAUAGUCAAAACUUUCAACAACGGAUCUCUUGGUUCUCGCAUCGAUGAAGAACGCAGCGAAAUGCGAUAAGUAAUAUGAAUUGCAGAUAUUCGUGAAUCAUCGAAUCUUUGAACGCACAUUGCGCCCUCUGGUAUUCCGGAGGGCAUGCCUGUUUGAGCGUCAUUUCUCCCUCAAACCCCCGGGUUUGGUGAUGAGCAAUACGCCAGGUUUGCUUGAAAGUUAGGAGGAGUAUUUAUAACAAUGUAUUAGGUCUAACCACUCCAUUGUGCUUAAUAAAAGCUCCAAUCUAUAUUUCAAACUUCGACCUCAAAUCAGGUAGGAUUACCCGCUGAAC